CACUUUGACAGACUCCUGCUGACUGGCGGAGCUUUGGGGUUUCUUCUGGAUUGAGCCACUACUGCUGAUUCCUGUUUUAUGUUUUGCUGGUGGACUGGACUGCAGACAACGAAGAUUGGAGUCACCCCAAGGAACUACUUCUAGACAGUUCAGUGCUACCCUACCAUGAACCCAGAUCAUAAAACUGUGUCAGAAUUAGGAUAGCUGUCUCCAAAGCCCACACUGUUAAUAGGACUGGUGUCCCUCCAUUCUGAUCCUGUGAGUCUGCACUGGGUGUGAGGCUUAUCAGCCAGGAAAUCCCUGAGGUCCCUCCUUGAGGCUACACAUCCACAAGUGGAGAGGAUGAGAAGACUGAGUCCCAGACCAAGCUAUGAAGCACAACCCUUGCUGGAAGCUGCCAGAGAAGCACCAAGCAGAAUGCCUGGCCAGGCUACACCCAGAGAGGCCCAUGUUUCCAGAAUCACUUCCCUGAGGAAGCUUCCCAAGGGAGCUCCUAUGACUGCUGUCUUAUCAUGGGGAAACAGUGGGGAAACCCAGUGCUGCCCACCCCCAUCCCCAUCCUGCCCCCCAGACAAAGAGAGCUUGGAAUGAAAUCCUCUCCCCAGGGAGUGUAGAAUGUCA